rnacentral:rRNA from 1 species
AUUGAAGUCAGUCAUGCCGGUGGGAAAUCAGCUCAUAGGCUACUUUGAGUGCACUUUCUCGCAAGGCAGGUUAACAUCGGUUUCAGUUGCGUUAUAAUGAUGGUGGGAAGGUAGCUCCCUCGGGAGUGUUAUAGCCCGCUAUAGAUGGCGUGACAGAGAUCGAGGAUUGCAGCGAAUGCCUUUAGGCUUCGGGUCUGGUCUCUGUGAAGGGUCAUUUCUUAUGUCAGCAUGCUGACGUAAGAGAUGCUUUUUACAAUAGGUUCAGAACUCGAUAAAUUCGUUAAGGAUGUUGACGUA